AAGUCGUAACAAGGUUUCCGUAGGUGAACCUGCGGAAGGAUCAUUAAAGUGUUCAUUUUUGGCUGUGCGCCUCCGGGCUGCACGCCGAAAACCACUCUCCACACCUGUGCACUCUUUCGACGAGGGAGAAAUUCCUCGCCGCUUUUAUCACAAACGUAUCAGUCUAGUAUGUAAACCUAUAAAUUAUACAACUUUCAGCAACGGAUCUCUUGGCUCUC
rnacentral:misc_RNA from 1 species